GAUCUCUCAGGGGCAAGCAUGUUUCUCUUGGAUAAGAGUGGGGUGAAAGGCACUAUCGAAGUCUGAAUGCUGGUUGCAGAAGAUAAUUUGAAGAAUGGGAACAUUAAGCCAUACUCAUUCAACCUACUCUUUAAGAGUUUGACAGGAGGGCCUAUACCUGCAUAUGCUCCCACCUCCAUCCCAAGGGGAAAAAGAUGUCAAUGGCUAGGCUAUCAAAAAUAUCAUGGCUUCUGUCUUGGUGCCUCUUGGAUUUCACACUCUGGGGGAAGUCAGUCCACAUGUUGUAAUGAUGCUCAAGCAGCCCAUGGAGAAGCCCCCCUGAAGAAGAACUUGAAGACAAUAACCGGAAACAUGUGAGAGCGCCAUCUUGGAAGCAGA
rnacentral:lncRNA from 1 species